rnacentral:rRNA from 1 species
GAGUUUGAUCAUGGCUCAGGACGAACGCUGGCGGCGUGCUUAACACAUGCAAGUCGAGCGAAGGAAUACUUAGGAAGCCUUCGGGAAGAAUACGUAUUCCUUAGCGGCGGACGGGUGAGUAACGCGUGAGGAAUCUGCCUCGCACAAGGGGAUAGCCUCGGGAAACCGGGAUUAAUACCCUAUGAUACUUACACUGCGCAUGCAGAGUAAGUUAAAGAAUAUCGGUGUGAGAUGACCUCGCGUCCCAUUAGCUGGUUGGCAGGGUAAAAGCCUACCAAGGCGACGAUGGGUAGCCGGCCUGAGAGGGUGAACGGCCACAUUGGAACUGAGACACGGUCCAGACUCCUACGGGAGGCAGCAGUGGGGAAUAUUGCACAAUGGAGGGAACUCUGAUGCAGCAACGCCGCGUGAGCGAAGAAGGUUUUAGGAUCGUAAAGCUCUGUCCUAGGGGAAGAUAAUGACGGUACCCGAGGAGGAAGCCCCGGCUAACUACGUGCCAGCAGCCGCGGUAAUAC